rnacentral:lncRNA from 1 species
GUUUUUUAUAUUGAUUAAAAUAAGCCAAGGUCCUGUUUUAGUAUGGCAUUAAAAAUAAUAUAACGCUAAUAAUAAUCCAUGUUAAAUGAUAAAUGCCGUCUUUUUUAAAUGAACUUUUAUUAAAAGUUAAUCUCUAAAAAAUAGUAGAUGUCUCUUGGAAGAACUCGCUCCUAUUCUCUGCCAAACAAGAGAAGAAGUCUUUUGCAUAGACUUGGCUAUCACAAAUACUCAUUUCACCAUUGAGAUCUGUAAACCAAUAUCAAGAACAAUUAUGCAAUUCAAAAUCCUAUAAUCAUCUUCAUUAUGAGUUACUAAGUGUGGAAGCGUCUUUCGCAGUGCAUACUAUAAACAAAGAAAAUGGAAAAAAAUAAAUCAAGAAUUCUACGCUUUGUAUUUCACAAGAAUGAAAAAC